AUGUCCGCGUCGGCGUCGGUCAAGCUGGGAUCAAAGCCCGACGCCUUCAGAAGGCAGGGGCAGGCGUGGUUCUGCACAACAGGACUGCCCAGUGAUGUUACUGUGGAGGUUGGGGAUAUGUUUUUCCACCUUCAUAAGUUCCCUUUACUUUCCAAAAGUGCCGUUCUUGAACAGCUGAUCGAGGAGAGUUCAGACCAGGAAGAGUGCAUCAUCAAACUAAAUGAUAUCCCAGGGGGUGCAAAAUCAUUUGAGAUGGUGGCAAGAUUCUGCUAUGGAGUGAAAAUAGAACUUUCUUCUUCAAAUGUUGUCCACCUGCGUUGUGCCUCUGAGCAUCUCCAGAUGACUGAAGAAAUAUCUGAUGACAACCUGAUUGCACAGACAGAAAUGUUCCUUAACCAGGUGGUGCUUCGUAACUGGAAAGAUUCUUUGAAGGCCCUCGAAACCUGCGAUGACCUCCUCCCUCAUGCUGAAGAUCUUCAAAUUGUGAAGAGAUGCAUCGAGUCGUUAGCAUCGAAAGCAACCACUGAUCCGAACCUGUUUGGCUGGCCGAUAAGGGAACAUGGCCUCAUGCAAAGCCCUGGAGGCAGUGUACUGUGGAAUGGGAUCAGCACCGGUGCCAGGCCCAGAAACUUCAGUUCAGACUGGUGGUAUGAUGAUGUUUCAUCAUUGAGUUUUCCAAUGUACAAGAGAUUGCUAUCUGGCAUGGAGUCUCGACGCAUACGGCCUGAGAUCAUCGCUGGUUCUUUGGCAUACUAUGCGCGGAAGUAUAUCCCAGGGCUCAGUAGGCGCAAUAGCAUGGGAACAAUGCCCCUGGCUGGUACUCUUUCUGAUGUGGAACAGAGGAACUUGCUUGAGGAGAUCGACAGACUAUUGCCUGUUCAGAAGGGUUUGGUGCCUACAAAACUCUUGCUCGGGCUGCUUAAAACAUCCAUGAUUCUGAAGGCCAGCUCCACCUGCAUUGCCAACUUAGAGAAGCGCGUCGGCAUGCAGCUUGACCAGGCCAGUCUGGAAGAUCUACUGCUGCCAAACUACUCUUACACCAUGGAAACACUGUACAAUGUGGAGUGCGUGCACAGGAUUCUUGAGCACUUUCUGGCAAUGGACCAAGCCAACGGCGGUUGCUCCCCGUGCAUCGAUGACAUGAUGGCGUCCCCUUCCAUGAUACCGAUCACUGCUGUUGCUAAGCUACUUGAUGGCUAUCUAGCAGAGGUUGCACCGGACGUCAAUCUGAAACCUCCGAAGUUCCAAGCUCUGGCAUCUGCUUUGCCCGAGUAUGCCCGGCCACUAGAUGAUGGCCUCUACCGUGCCAUCGAUGUGUACUUGAAGGUAGAUCUUUCAUCCUGCUUUGAUCUUUGUUUGGAACAGCUAAUUAGCAUUUUGUCUUCAGAAAAGAAAUUGGACAUUCACUUCUAUCUGCAUCUGCAUGACAUCAUUUUGAUUUUGUGUUGCUUGCAGGCACAUUCCUGGCUGUCAGAAGCUGAGCGGGAGCAGCUAUGCCGGCUGAUGGACUGCCAGAAGCUGUCCCUGGAGGCGUGCACCCACGCGGCGCAGAACGAGAGGCUGCCGCUGCGCGUGGUGGUGCAGGUCCUCUUCUUCGAGCAGCUGCAGCUGAGGACGUCGAUCGCGGGGUGCCUGCUGGUGUCGGACAACCUGGAAGGGUCGUCCAGGCCGCUGCGGAGCGGCGGGGUGGCGAUGUCCGGCGAGGCCGGGGGGUGGUCGGCGGCCGUGAGGGAGAACCAGGUGCUGAAGGUGGGCAUGGACAACAUGAGGAUGCGGCUGGCGGAGCUGGAGAAGGAGUGCUCGGGCAUGCGGCAGGAGAUCGAGAAGCUGGGGCGCGGCGGCGGCGGCAAGGGCGGCGGCGGAGGAGGAGGGUGGGCGUCCCAUGUCCCGAGGCGGUUCAGCCUGAAGAUGAAGCCGCAGAUUUGCAGCACCCAGGAGGGGUCGGUGAGCGAGCAGCACAAGAGCAUGAGCGCCAAGCUCGACAAGCUGCAGGCCAAGCUGUCCAAGCAGAAGCGCCAGCUCUCCGCCGACGCCUGA
rnacentral:rRNA from 1 species